GGGUCGGUAGCUCAGCGGUAGAGCAUUCGGCUUUUAACCGAUUGGCCCUGGGUUCGAUCCCCAGCCGACCCA
rnacentral:tRNA from 1 species